AUGGAUGGUGGUGGCAGCGCCAUGGAGCACGGCUGCACAACUUCGAUGCCGGGGCAGGUGGGCUCGGGCGUUGAACGGCUCCACGGGAGCAGCAGCAUGCGGCGCAUCCAGUCGGGCUUGGGCAGUGCCCCGGCGCCGGACGCACGCGCUGGUUUCCGGCAAGCUGGACAUGGUGAUGGAAGUGCACCCUAUGUUAGUAGGGUGAGCAUCGAUGAAGCCAGAAGGAGGGAAAAUGUCAACCCCAACAAUGAAGAUAACAUUAUGAUGGGGAAUGGUUCAGCUCUAAGAGAGACAGCUUGGAAAGGGCUUGUAAGCAAUGACAUCUAUUAUAUUUGGAACCAUGGCCCGAAGUUUGGUGGGGGAUUUGAUUGUCGGUACUGCCCCCUAAUCACUAGAGGAGGAGGUGCAACCCGCUUUAGGGAGCACCUUGGAGGUAUACCAGGUGAUGUGAAACAGAGUAUCACAGCAUACUUUGACAAGGAAUUGUCGACCAACAAAGUAUCAAUGCAGCCAAAGAUCAGCACUGCUUUGAAUGUUGAGUCAAAAGAUGUACUUGGCCAAGCUUGGGAAAAGUUUUUUCAUGCUAAUGACAUUGCUGGUCUGAAAGCAAAUUGUCCCUAUUUUCGUUCGGCUGUCAAGAUAACUCAAAACCUUGGCCCAGCUCCUGUUCCAACUGCCAAGGAGAUUGAUGGGAUAUAUUUGGACAAGAAUUAUGAAGAAGCUGAGCAGUGGCUGAAGAUGUUCAAGCAAGACUGGAGGAACUAUGGUGUAACUGUGAUGUGUGACUCAUGGACAGGGCCUACUAGUAUGAGUCUCAUCAAUUUCAUGGUGUAUUGCAAUGCACGGAUGUUCUUUCAUAAAUCCAUUGAUGCUUCUGGUCAAACUCAGACUGCAGAUACGUGCUGA
rnacentral:rRNA from 1 species